rnacentral:lncRNA from 1 species
AUCUACUCGUCAUCGUAGCUAUUAAAGAGUAAAAAAUGUUCCGUUGGAUUUCAAGUUCUUCGAUUAAUUAUUUAUUUAAUUACUAAGAUUGUGAACGUGACCGUAGCGUCGAAAGAGAAUCAACCGAAGGAAGAGAUCUUCUUCGAAAGUUAAAAUUCAUAAGCGUACAUACUUGCCGAAGAAGUAGACGACAUGACGCUGAUAACAAAUAAUAGUCAAGGGCCUCGCUUCAUCGAAACAACUAAUUCCUGUUCGAUCACUAAAGUUAAGCAACGAUGGACAUGGGAAGACUUCUAAAUAAAUGAAGGUAAAUCUAUCUAUGAAAUUAUGAAGUUAUGAAAUACGCACUAUGAAGUGGAACAAGACUGAAAUUUCCAUCGAAUGAAAGUCCUUGUAAAUGCAGGAAAAGCGGAAGAAGAAAAGAAAUUGGAAGGAGAAUUAAUGGCUCAAGAUAGAAGAAAAGAGUGUUGCAGGGGGAUAUCCGAGAGACGAGAGUAGCAUCCCACGUGGAUGUCGUCACACUGUUUCCAACCAGUAAGUGAGGAAGGAAGGAAGGAA